AGCUGUUCCCCUCUGGAGGUUUUAGAUCUCCACACUUCAUGGGCCGCGGUUUCUCGCAGGCCCAUUUUUUUAUUCUUU
rnacentral:misc_RNA from 1 species